CAGGAUUUUCCCUUGAAGGCUGGUAUUCUUGGAGAGCCAGCGCCUGUCUCCCGACAGGGCUUUGGAGCCAGGAGCCGUGGCCCAGGGCUCUGUGCCGGGCAGUCUCAUGGACACUGGGUUCACCACCGCAAGGAAGCCCGGAGAGCAUCAUUCCAGGGAAACGAGUUCUGGAGACCGGCCCCCAGCGUGAGAUGAAGAAGCGGCCCCAAACUCCGACUGAAGAGAGCUCAUGGGCGUUGGCAUUUCGAAGGCUUAUCGGUGCCCUUCUGUCUAAUUGAAUAUCAAGAUGAGAAGAUGUGACAAAAUGGGGGUCUGGGGCCAGAGGGCAAGUAUGAAUUCGGCCUGAGCUGUGUCCUGCUCCAGAGGCUCUCAGCAGCAGGUGAACAUAUGGAGACAUAUGCAUGUUGAUGACGGACACCAUAAAGAUGAGGAGACGGAGAGACAGAGAGGUCGGCAGACUUACCCAAGGUCACAGCCCUAAAUGAAGGGGAAACCAGAGG